UUCUUCUUCUUCUACUUCUUCUUCUUUUAAAAUUAUUUUUCUCCAGAUAGAUUUGUUCAUAACCUACGACCACUUGUUAGAAAUCUCAAGUUUCCACUAUAUCCGAAUAACGUUUGGAUGUUAUUUAUUUUAUAUUUUAUAUUAAUUCUAAUUUGUUCUUGGUGUUAUUUACUAUUUUGUGGCAUUGCCUUACUGCUUUUCUUAUGUUCUUUUAACAGCCUUGUCUUGUUGGUAUCCUCAUAUAUAUCAUUUUUUUUCUUUAAAAAAAAUUCAAGCAGGAAUCUUAAAUUGGAUUACCUUGA
rnacentral:misc_RNA from 1 species